rnacentral:rRNA from 1 species
CAACCUUCACAGGAAUCAAACACAUUUUGCUGGAAGUUAACUACUUCAAUUGUUUCCACAAUCAAAUCCAUGUAUUAAGACCUUAUCAGUGAUGGGCGGCCUUCCAACCACAAAUAUAUUUGAAAACUGAAAUUCUUGUUGAAUAUUAAAAUCUUCAUGUGGUAUUUAGCUCGCAAAGUCAUUCUAACUAAAGAUAACCCCAAAAAACUAAAUUGGCAAAGAUGCACUAAGUGUUACUUUUGUAGUAAUGAGGAGUUGAUUCAACAUCUAUUCUUUCACUGCCCUCUCGCAAAAUUAUUAUGGCGAUUUGUUCAUAUAGUUUUAAUCUACCUCCACUCACGAGUAGACAAGUAG